AGUGAACGCUGGCGGUAGGCCUAACACAUGCAAGUCGAACGGCAGCACAGUAAGAGCUUGCUCUUACGGGUGACGAGUGGCGGACGGGUGAGGAAUACAUCGGAAUCUACUUUUUCGUGGGGGAUAACGUAGGGAAACUUACGCUAAUACCGCAUACGACCUACGGGUGAAAGCAGGGGAUCUUCGGACCUUGCGCGAUUGAAUGAGCCGAUGUCGGAUUAGCUAGUUGGCGGGGUAAGGGCCCACCAAGGCGACGAUCCGUAGCUGGUCUGAGAGGAUGAUCAGCCACACUGGAACUGAGACACGGUCCAGACUCCUACGGGAGGCAGCAGUGGGGAAUAUUGGACAAUGGGCGCAAGCCUGAUCCAGCCAUACCGCGUGGGUGAAGAAGGCCUUCGGGUUGUAAAGCCCUUUUGUUGGGAAAGAAAAGCAGCAGGUUAAUACCCCGCUGUUCUGACGGUACCCAAAGAAUAAGCACCGGCUAACUUCGUG
rnacentral:rRNA from 1 species